rnacentral:rRNA from 2 species
UACGGAGGGUGCAAGCGUUGUCCGGAUUUAUUGGGUUUAAAGGGUGCGUAGGCGGCCCUGUAAGUCAGUGGUGAAAGCCCAUAGCUCAACUAUGGAACUGCCAUUGAUACUGCAGGGCUUGAGUACAGACGAGGUUGGCGGAAUUGAUGGUGUAGCGGUGAAAUGCAUAGAUACCAUCAAGAACACCGAUUGCGAAGGCAGCUAACUAGGCUGUAACUGACGCUGAGGCACGAAAGCGUGGGGAGCGAACAGG